AUUUUGCCCCUGAAACUGAGAAAGCAUAGAAAUCUCAUAGAGCUCGACGAUCAUGGAGAUCUCAUAGAGCUCGACGAUCAUCGAUUAGGUACGUAAUCGCACAGCUCCGAUUAGGUACGAUCUCGGUUUUGUGACUCUUCAUCUCUCUUGGCGUUGUGUUUCUCAGCUCCGAUUAGGUUGUAGCACAGAAAGUGAAGGAAGCUGAAAUCACUGAGCAGGACUCGCUUCUUCUGACGAGGAAUCUGCUAUGAAUUGUUAUAUUCAAUAUUAGUUACAUCAGAGGCCUGUAUGUCAGAGAAAUUUAUUGGUUGACUGAGGGUGAGGUUGGUUGGGUAUGGCAGAGCCGGUUAUGUGCUGUGGGGGAUAUUUUUGGUGAGUGGGAAGAAAAAGAGGGGAAAAAAAUGAAGUCUAAGUUCAUAUGGCAUGAAAAGGAAAUCUGGAGGCCUUGGCUUAAACGACGUAGACUGGGUUUUGGAGCUUUUGGUUAUAGGUUUGCUGGGUUUGUGAUUGGGUGUUGCCAUGGGAUUAUGGGAAUGUUAGGUUCAUGGUUCCCAGCUUUGGGUUGUGGAAAUUGAGAGGGAGAUUACUGAUAGUGGAGGUUAGUGGUAAGGGGAUGAAACUAGGGGGGUUUAUUUGUUUUGGUUGGGUUCAUCCACAGCGUGAAUUGGGUUUAUUUGUCUUUCAAAGUGAAUUAUUGGUUUGGUUUUAUAAAAUUUUGAGUGUGAUUUGACUGUAAUGGAAAUUUGAUGGUGGGUUUAGUUCUUUUUAAAUUAAAUGCAUACCUAGUGAGAACCCUGUUCUCUGAGCUGAUGUUGCAAUUAGAGUGAUGCUGUCUUCUAAAGUGAAGUGAAAAGAUUGUAUAAAUACUGCUAACUGCUGCCUGAAAUGCAACUCACUUAUAAUAAUUUCUCGAACAAAAUGGAUUUUUUUUAAUCUUCAUGGGGUUUCCUAGUAGAAUUGUAGAGCUGUUUCCUAAAAGCUCCAAAUUUCAGUUUUAGCCUUAAAACUGUUUUUAGCUUGAGGACCCCUUUUAAAAGCUCUUUAGCAAAAUUUUCCAAACGUAUGGCAAUUUCUGUUAAAUGAGCUUUAAACGCUAUUAAAGUACUUUUAGCAUUACCAGACACACCCAUAAUGGAAGUUACGGUUAUCUGAUCUUCUUUUUGCUUGUCUGUUAUUCCUUAUUAGUUCAGCGAAUUUAUCACCUUGAUAUGCUCUAAACUUUAAAUCUAUGAGAGUAUUUAUGAGCAGAACUGAAGUGUGAAUAUAUUUGAGGUGCAAUGGACAGGUGCUUAUAGGCAUAUAAUUGUAGCACGUAAUCAUAGAAUGGAAAAGCAAACUGGUUGUAUUGGUUUUUAAAAAGCCUAAGUCAGUUAAUUCCAUUUUGGUCUUUACCAGUGAUUAGGGGAUGUUAGGAGGCACAUAACACUGAUUUGCCACUAUGUUAUUGUGCUAUAUUGUUUUGUCUUUUAUUAACAUGGGAGAAUGGCUUGUCAAAAUCCGGGUUGCUGUUGCUGACUACUUCGAUUAAAGAACUGUUUAAAAUAAUUCUUCAGUUGUACUUCGUUCUAGAUUCUCAUUGCAAAAUGUUGGCAAGCGACUUGAGCUUUUUCUUGAUCAUUCCAAUGAAAUUGCUGCAUUUUGCAUUUUAGUUUAAUGUUUUGCGGUCCUUGGUACAGAUUUUCUACUCAUAUUACAUGCACACAUAAAGAAGUGCUUAUGUUGAAUAUGAAUAGGAGUCCUGUUGAUACAGAACCCUGAAACUGAAAUGCAAUAUUAUACAUGGACAUUCCCCUGGGGCUGUCUCAUAUUCCAUCACCUUGUGGAGCACUGUUGUGCCUCUAUGUUUUUUGACAUGUCACCUUUUUUGUAUAAUUUUUGUUUUUUCUUUUAAUGCUUGGAUUGUAUUUAUGUGUGUGUCAUU